rnacentral:rRNA from 1 species
UAGGGAAUCUUCGGCAAUGGGGGCAACCCUGACCGAGCAACGCCGCGUGAGUGAAGAAGGUUUUCGGAUCGUAAAGCUCUGUUGUAAGAGAAGAACGAGUGUGAGAGUGGAAAGUUCACACUGUGACGGUAACUUACCAGAAAGGGACGGCUAACUACGUGCCAGCAGCCGCGGUAAUACGUAGGUCCCGAGCGUUAUCCGGAUUUAUUGGGCGUAAAGCGAGCGCAGGCGGUUAGAUAAGUCUGAAGUUAAAGGCUGUGGCUUAACCAUAGUACGCUUUGGAAACUGUUUAACUUGAGUGCAGAAGGGGAGAGUGGAAUUCCAUGUGUAGAGGUGAAAUGCGUAGAUAUAUGGAGGAACACCGGUGGCGAAAGCGGCUCUCUGGUCUGUAACUGACGCUGAGGCUAGAAAGCGGGGGGCGAAAACA